GAUGAACGCUGGCGGCGUGCUUAACACAUGCAAGUCGAACGAUGAAGCCCAGCUUGCUGGGUGGAUUCGUGGCGAACGGGUGAGUAACACGCGAGUAACCUGCCCUCAUCUCUGGGAUAAGCCUGGUAGACAGGGUGUAAUACCGGAUAGGAGAGUUCAUCGCACGGUGGGUGUUGGAAAGAUUUAGCGGUUUUGGAUGGACUCGCGGCGUAUCAGCUUGUUGGUGAGGUAUUGGCUCACCAAGGCGACGACGGGUAGCCGGCCUGAGAGGGUGACCGGCCACACUGGGACUGAGACACGGCCCAGACUCCUACGGGAGGCAGCAGUGGGGAAUAUUGCACAAUGGGCGCAAGCCUGAUGCAGCGACGCCGCGUGAGGGAUGACGGCCUUCGGGUUGUAAACCUCUUUCAGUAGGGAAGAAGCGAAAGUGACGGUACCUGCAGAAGAAGCACCGGCUAACUACGUG
rnacentral:rRNA from 1 species